ensembl:lncRNA
GCCAACUGGAGGAGCAGAGACUGUGUUUGUCACGGAGAAAAGAGCUGUGGACUUCGCGGAUGACUGUCUGUGUGUGAAUCUUCUUCUUAUCUUGCAAUGACCCUGCGUGACUGUGACCCCAUUGUUGAUCAAGGUACCAUUUUUUUGUUCUUGCCCUCGUGAUGAAGCAGCCAUUUUGUUUGAGGCUUCUACGCACUCCAGCUACAUUCAGGCCUGCAACGGGGAACUUGGGUUUUCAGAAGAACCUGUAGCAUUUUUAAACAGACUUGAAGAGAAGAGGUUCUUCUACAGAGAUUUAAGGACAUCACAGUUACUUACAUUCAGAGGAAACAGGUAAGAGCUGCUAAUUGGAGGAGAGGAGCAACUUACAAACCCUUGCACCUCAUUAUCCACCUUUCUCCCAGGGAGACAAAGAACAUUCCACUCAUGUUAGCCACACACACACACACACACACACACACACACACACACACACACACACACACACACACACAUAGACACGCACUCAAUAAUAUCUCUGCAUCAUUUUUCUUUUUUUUAACCACACCCAAGUUCAUACCCAACUCAGGCUAUUGAUUCUGACAGUUACACAGGCC